GUAUUGCUGAAGAGUCCCAAACUAGGACGAAAUAGCUGUCCAGUAC
rnacentral:hammerhead_ribozyme from 1 species